GUGGGGAAUAUUGGGCAAUGGGCGCAAGCCUGACCCAGCAACGCCGCGUGAAGGAAGAAGGCUUUCGGGUUGUAAACUUCUUUUACCAGGGACGAAACAAAUGACGGUACCUGGUGAAUAAGCCACGGCUAACUACGUGCCAGCAGCCGCGGUAAUACGUAGGUGGCGAGCGUUAUCCGGAUUUAUUGGGUGUAAAGGGCGUGUAGGCGGGACAGCAAGUCAGAUGUGAAAACCAGAGGCUCAACCUCUGGCCUGCAUUUGAAACUGUUGGUCUUGAGUGUCGGAGAGGUAAUCGGAAUUCCGUGUGUAGCGGUGAAAUGCGUAGAUAUACGGAGGAACACCAGUGGCGAAGGCGGAUUACUGGACUGUAACUGACGCUGAGGCGCGAAAGUGUGGGGAGCAAACAGGAUUAGAUACCCUAGUAGUCC
rnacentral:rRNA from 1 species